rnacentral:rRNA from 1 species
UACGGGGGGAGCAAGCGUUGUUCGGAUUUACUGGGCGUAAAGGGCGCGUAGGCGGCCACCGCAAGUCGACUGUGAAAUCUCCGGGCUUAACCCGGAAAGGUCAGCCGAUACUGCGGGGCUAGAGUGCAGAAGGGGCAACUGGAAUUCUCGGUGUAGCGGUGAAAUGCGUAGAUAUCGAGAGGAACACCUGCGGCGAGGGCGGGUUGCUGGGCUGACACUGACGCUGAGGCGCGAAAGCUAGGGGAGCGAACGGG